rnacentral:rRNA from 1 species
CCCUUAGAUGUUCUGGGCUGCACGCGCGCUACACUGAAGCGUUCAACGAGUAUUCACCUUGCCCGGGAGGGUUGGGUAAUCUUUUGAAUGUGCAUCGUGAUUGGGAUAGAUGAUUGCAAUUCUUCAUCUUCAACGAGGAAUGCCUAGUAAACGCAAGUCAUCAGCUUGCAUUGAUUACGUCCCUGCCCUUUGUACACACCGCCCGUCGCUCCUACCGAUUGAAUGUUCCGAUGAAUACCAUGGACUGAGAGUAUGAAUGGGUUCGCCUAUUUCUGCUUCUCGGGAAGUGGAGUAAAUCUUAACAUUUAGAGGAAGGAGAAGUCGUAACA